rnacentral:tRNA from 1 species
GCGCCUAUAGCUCAGCGGAUAGAGCAUCGGUCUUCGGAACCGAGGGUCGUGGGUUCGAAUCCCCCUAGGCGCGCCA